CUACGGGCGGCACCAGUGAGGAAUAUUGCACAAUGGGGGGAACCCUGAUGCAGCAACGCCGCGUGGAGGAUGACGCAUUUCGGUGUGUAAACUCCUUUUAUAUGUCAAGAAAAUGACGGUAGCAUAUGAAUAAGCACCGGCUAACUCCGUGCCAGCAGCCGCGGGUAAUACGGAGGGUGCAAGCGUUACUCGGAAUCACUGGGCGUAAAGGAAGCGUAGGCGGGUUGGAAAGUCAGGUGUGAAAUCCUACAGCUUAACUGUAGAACUGCACUUGAAACUUCUAAUCUAGAGUAUGGGAGGGGGAGAUGGAAUUAGUGGUGUAGGGGUAAAAUCCGUAGAUAUCACUAGGAAUACCUAAAGCGAAGGCGAUCUCCUGGAACAUUACUGACGCUAAGGCGUGAAAGCGUGGGGAGCAAACAGGAUUAGAUACCCCGGUAGUC
rnacentral:rRNA from 1 species